UCCGUAGGGUGCGAUCGUUAAUCGGAAUUACUGGGCGUAAAGCGUGCGCAGGCGGCUCAUUAAGACAGGCGUGAAAUCCCCGGGCUUAACCUGGGAACUGCGCUUGUGACUGGUGGGCUGGAGUGUGUCAGAGGGAGGUGGAAUUCCACGUGUAGCAGUGAAAUGCGUAGAGAUGUGGAGGAACACCGAUGGCGAAGGCAGCCUCCUGGGACAACACUGACGCUCAUGCACGAAAGCGUGGGGAGAAAACAGG
rnacentral:rRNA from 1 species